AUUACAUGCAAGUCGAACGAACUCUGGUAUUGAUUGGUGCUUGCAUCAUGAUUUACAUUUGAGUGAGUGGCGAACUGGUGAGUAACACGUGGGAAACCUGCCCAGAAGCGGGGGAUAACACCUGGAAACAGAUGCUAAUACCGCAUAACAACUUGGACCGCAUGGUCCGAGNUUGAAAGAUGGCUUCGGCUAUCACUUUUGGAUGGUCCCGCGGCGUAUUAGCUAGAUGGUGGGGUAACGGCUCACCAUGGCAAUGAUACGUAGCCGACCUGAGAGGGUAAUCGGCCACAUUGGGACUGAGACACGGCCCAAACUCCUACGGGAGGCAGCAGUAGGGAAUCUUCCACAAUGGACGAAAGUCUGAUGGAGCAACGCCGCGUGAGUGAAGAAGGGUUUCGGCUCGUAAAACUCUGUUGUUAAAGAAGAACAUAUCUGAGAGUAACUGUUCAGGUAUUGACGGUAUUUAACCAGAAAGCCACGGCUAACUACGUGCCAGCAGCCGCGGUAAUACGUAGGUGGCAAGCGUUGUCCGGAUUUAUUGGGCGUAAAGCGAGCGCAGGCGGUUUUUUAAGUCUGAUGUGAAAGCCUUCGGCUCAACCGAAGAAGUGCAUCGGAAACUGGGAAACUUGAGUGCAGAAGAGGACAGUGGAACUCCAUGUGUAGCGGUGAAAUGCGUAGAUAUAUGGAAGAACACCAGUGGCGAAGGCGGCUGUCUGGUCUGUAACUGACGCUGAGGCUCGAAAGUAUGGGUAGCAAACAGGAUUAGAUACCCUGGUAGUCCAUACCGUAAACGAUGAAUGCUAAGUGUUGGAGGGUUUCCGCCCUUCAGUGCUGCAGCUAACGCAUUAAGCAUUCCGCCUGGGGAGUACGGCCGCAAGGCUGAAACUCAAAGGAAUUGACGGGGGCCCGCACAAGCGGUGGAGCAUGUGGUUUAAUUCGAAGCUACGCGAAGAACCUUACCAGGUCUUGACAUACUAUGCAAAUCUAAGAGAUUAGACGUUCCCUUCGGGGACAUGGAUACAGGUGGUGCAUGGUUGUCGUCAGCUCGUGUCGUGAGAUGUUGGGUUAAGUCCCGCAACGAGCGCAACCCUUAUUAUCAGUUGCCAGCAUUAAGUUGGGCACUCUGGUGAGACUGCCGGUGACAAACCGGAGGAAGGUGGGGAUGACGUCAAAUCAUCAUGCCCCUUAUGACCUGGGCUACACACGUGCUACAAUGGAUGGUACAACGAGUUGCGAACUCGCGAGAGUAAGCUAAUCUCUUAAAGCCAUUCUCAGUUCGGAUUGUAGGCUGCAACUCGCCUACAUGAAGUCGGAAUCGCUAGUAAUCGCGGAUCAGCAUGCCGCGGUGAAUACGUUCCCGGGCCUUGUACACACCGCCCGUCACACCAUGAGAGUUUGUAACACCCAAAGUCGGUGGGGUAACCAUU
rnacentral:rRNA from 1 species